GGUAGGUGAGCGGCGGAGCAAAAAGUAGGUGAACGGCGAUGGGACAGUGGUGGCGAUAGAAGGCUAGCAUGCGGCGCCCUAGGGUUAGGGGGAUUAGGGUUUCUGAAAUGGUAUUAAAAUUUUGGGGCACUAGGCCUUGUAAUUGGGUUUGUUUAGUUAUUUUUGGGUCUGAUUUGGGUGUUGGGCCUAGGGGUGAGCAAAACUCGAUUCGACUCGAAAAAAGCGAAAAAAAUUCGAAUUUCGAGUUAAACGAAUCGAGUUAUUCAAGUUAAUCGAGUUAUUCGAAUCAACUCGAUUUUUUUUCGAAUUUCGAGUUCGAAUCGAGUUGAGUUUUCGAAUUCGAAUAACUCGAAUAAUUCGAAUAAUUCGAAUAUCAAACUAUAAUAUUUGACAGUUUUACCCUAAACUCCCAAACCUUUUUACUUUUCCCUCAAAACUUUUACUCCUUCCCACUUUCCCCCCAAAACUUUUACUCCCCUCACCUCCCAACCCCCCAAUCUACCCAAAAUCCAUUUCCCACCAAAAUUUU
rnacentral:lncRNA from 1 species